GAUGAACGCUAGCGAUAGGCCUAACACAUGCAAGUCGAGGGGCAUCACAUGAAGUAGCAAUACGGAUGGUGGCGACCGGCGCACGGGUGAGUAACACGUAUGCAACCUGCCUUCAACAAGGGGAUAACCCGUUGAAAGACGGACUAAUACCCUAUAACACAGGGGUCCCGCAUGGGAAUAUUUGUUAAAGGACAACCGGUUGAAGAUGGGCAUGCGUUCCAUUAGCUAGUUGGCGGGGUAACGGCCCACCAAGGCAACGAUGGAUAGGGGGAACUGAGAGGUUUAUCCCCCACACUGGUACUGAGACACGGACCAGACUCCUACGGGAGGCAGCAGUGAGGAAUAUUGGUCAAUGGACGCAAGUCUGAACCAGCCACGUCGCGUGAAGGAAGACGGCCCUACGGGUUGUAAACUUCUUUUAUACGGGAAUAAAGUGCCCCACGCGUGGGGUUUUGCAUGUACCGUAUGAAUAAGGAUCGGCUAACUCCGUGCCAGCAGCCG
rnacentral:rRNA from 1 species